CGUGGUUAAGACAGGCGUAGAAUGUCAUUACCUGAGGAGGAAAAGUUCAUCGUGUCCGGCCAGAAGGAGAAGUUUUACAAGUACUACCACAUUCGCGUUCCAGUCUCCAGUAUUGCUGUGAACGCCGUUUGCGCAUCGCGAUGUGGAGCAGUUUCUGGCGGGAAAAAGGGGCGUGAAAGGAGAAAAAUCAGAGAGGACUGAUCGACAUGGGCGCCUGCACGCGUGCGGAGUUCUGAGUGACUUUUCCGUGCACUCGAAGAAGGUCACGCCUCUAGCCAGCCUCUAGCCUUCUUCGAGCCGUAGCGCGUCGGCCACUUGAAAGAGUGUUGUGUUGAUUUAACCGCAGGAAAACGGACCUUGCAAGCGUUAGUGACCAGCGCUGCCCCUGACUCUCGUAGUGGCAUCUUGAUGUAGAUUGCAGAGUAAAGGAAAAGUAGUGAA